rnacentral:rRNA from 1 species
UGUCUCCUACGGGAGGCAGCAGUGGGGAAUUUUGGACAAUGGGCGCAAGCCUGAUCCAGCUAUUCCGCGUGUGGGAUGAAGGCCCUCGGGUUGUAAACCACUUUUGUAGAGAACGAAAAGACACCUUCGAAUAAAGGGUGUUGCUGGCGGUACUCUAAGAAUAAGCACCGGCUAACUACGUGCCAGAAGCCGCGGUAAUACGUAGGGUGCGAGCGUUAAUCGGAAUAACUGGGUGUAAAGGGUGCGCAGGCGGUUGAGUA